UACGUAGGUGGCAAGCGUUGUCCGGAAUUAUUGGGCGUAAAGCGCGCGCAGGCGGUCCUUUAAGUCUGAUGUGAAAGCCCACGGCUCAACCGUGGAGGGUCAUUGGGGACCGCACCGCUUGAGGGCGGUAGGGGCUGGUGGAAUGCCUGGUGUAGUGGUGAAAUGCGUAGAGAUCAGGCGGAACACCCGUGGCGAAGGCGGCCAGCUGGGCCGUCCCUGACGCUGAGGCGCGAAGGCGUGGGGAGCGAACGGG
rnacentral:rRNA from 1 species